UACGUAGGGUGCAAGCGUUGUUCGGAAUUACUGGGCGUAAAGCGCGCGCAGGCGGGCUUAUAAGUCGAUUGUGAAAUCCCAGGGCUCAACCUUGGAACUGCAGUCGAAACUGUAAGUCUUGAGUGCCUAAGAGGAUGGCGGAAUUGCCGGUGUAGUAGUGAAAUACGUAGAUAUCGGCAAGAACACCUGAGGCGAAGGCGGCUAUCUGGUGGUGCACUGACGCUGAGGCGCGAAAGCGUGGGGAGCAAACAGG
rnacentral:rRNA from 1 species